CCUACGGGAGGCAGCAGUAGGGAAUAUUGCUCAAUGGGGGAAACCCUGAAGCAGCAACUCCGCGUGGAGGAUGAAGGUUUUCGGAUUGUAAACUCCUUUUGUUGGAGAAGAUAAUGACGGUAUCUAACGAAUAAGCACAGGCGAACUCCGUGCCAGCAGCCGCGGGAAUACGGAGGGUGCAAGCGUUAAUCGGAAUCACUGGGCGUAAAGUGCGCGUAGGCGGGAUAGCAAGUCAGAUGUGAAAUCCUAUGGCGUAACCAGAGAACUGCAUUUGAAACUGUUAUUCUAGAGGAUGGGAGAGGUAGGUGGAAUUCUUGGUGUAGGGGUAAAAUCCGUAGAGAUCAAGAGGAAUACUCAUGGCGAAGGCGACCUGCUAGAACAUAACUGACGCUGAUGCGCGAAAGCGUGGGGAGCAAACAGGAUUAGAUACCCUUGUAGUC
rnacentral:rRNA from 1 species